rnacentral:rRNA from 1 species
UACGUAGGGUGCGAGCGUUGUCCGGAAUUAUUGGGCGUAAAGGAGCUUGUAGGCGGUUUGUCGCGUCUGCUGUGAAAACCUAAGGCUCAACCUUGGGCUUGCAGUGGGUACGGGCAGACUAGAGUGCGGUAGGGGUGACUGGAAUUCCUGGUGUAGCGGUGGAAUGCGCAGAUAUCAGGAGGAACACCGAUGGCGAAGGCAGGUCACUGGGCCGCAACUGACGCUGGAGGAGCGGAAAGCAUGGGAGCGAACAGG